rnacentral:rRNA from 1 species
AGGGGUGAAAGGCCAAUCAGACUCCGUGAUAGCUGGUUCUCCCCGAAAUGCAUUUUGGUGCAGCGUCGCGUGUUGCCCGGCGGAGGUAGAGCUACUGGGUGGCUGAGGGGCCUUACAGGGUUACUGAGGUCAGCCAAACUCCGAAUGCCGUGCGGGUGUGUAGCGUGGCAGUGAGACUGCGGGGGAUAAGCUUCGUGGUCGAGAGGGAAACAGCCCGGAUCGCCGGCUAAGGCCCCUAAGCGUGUGCUAAGUGGGAAAGGAUGUGCGGUCGCGCAGACAACCAGGAGGUUGGCUUAGAAGCAGCCAUCCUUGAAAGAGUGCGUAAUAGCUCACUGGUCGAGUGGUCGUGCGCCGACAAUGUAGCGGGGCUCAAGCACACCGCCGAAGCCGCGGACCCCCAACAUCGAUCCUCCCCAAUCCGCCUUUGUGGUGGUUGGGCAGGGGUUGGGGGUGGUAGGGGAGCGUCCUGCACUGGGUGAAGCCUGGGGGUGACCCACGGGUGGACGGUGCGGGAGUGAGAAUGCAGGCAUGAGUAGCGAUGACUAGGGUGAGAAGCCCUAGCGCCGAGAGACCAAGGGUUCCAGGGCCAGGCUAGUCCGCCCUGGGUGAGUCGGGACCUAAGGCGAGGCCGACAGGCGUAGUCGAUGGAUGACGGGUUGAUAUUCCCGUACCCGUGUGCGUGCGACAAGUGAUGAAUCUUAUGGUACUAACCACCCGCUUGUUUCCGCUAAUCUUUUUGGUUGGUGGUUGCAGGUGCGUGGGAUCUUCGUGGGUAGUAGUCAAGUGAUGGGGUGACGCAGAGUGGUAGCUAGGCUUCCUUAUUGGAUUGGAGUGCAAGCGUGUGGCCUGUGGGGUUGGGAAAUCCGCCCCGCAUUAAGGGUGAGGCGUGAUGCGGACACCAUGUUGUGGUGGUAGUUAGUGUGCCUGUGCUGUCUAGAAAAGCCUCUAGCGAGUGCGUGCAUGGCCCGUACCGGAAACCGACACAGGUGGUCAGGUAGAGAAUACUAAGGCGUUCGGGUGAACUGUGGUUAAGGAACUCGGCAAAAUGCCCCCGUAACUUCGGGAGAAGGGGGACCAUUACUGGUUGCUGACAGCAAGAUGGCUGGUGGUGGUCGCAGAGGAGAGAGGGAAGCGACUGUUUAUUAAAAACACAGGUCCGUGCGAAAACGUGGAAGUUGAGGUAUACGGACUGACGCCUGCCCGGUGCUGGAAGGUUAAGAGGACCCGUGAGCAUGCCUAUGGUGUGCGAGGCGGAGAAUUGAAGCCCCAGUAAACGGCGGUGGUAACUAUAACCAUCCUAAGGUAGCGAAAUUCCUUGUCGGGUAAGUUCCGACCUGCACGAAUGGCGUAACGACUUCCCUGCUGUCUCAACCACAGGCCCGGUGAAAUUGCAGUACGAGUAAAGAUGCUCGUUUCGCGCGGCAGGACGAAAAGACCCCGGGACCUUUACUAUAGCUUGGUAUUGGUGUUUGGUCAUGCUUGUGUAGGAUAGGUGGGAGACUGUGAAGCCGCAACGCUAGUUGUGGUGGAGUCGCAGGUGAAAUACCACUCUGGUGUGAUUGGGUACCUGAACCUUGGCCCGUGAUCCGGGUUGGGGACAGUGCCUGGUGGGUAGUUUAACUGGGGCGGUUGCCUCCUAAAUGGUAACGGAGGCGCCCAAAGGUUUCCUCAGUCUGGUUGGCAAUCAGAUGGUGAGUGUAAGUGUAUAAGGGAGCUUGACUGUGACACUGACGGGUGGAGCAGGUGCGAAAGCAGGGACUAGUGAUCCGGCAUCUACGUGUGGUUGUGGUGUCGCUCAACGGAUAAAAGGUACCCCGGGGAUAACAGGCUGAUCUUCCCCAAGAGUUCAUAUCGACGGGAUGGUUUGGCACCUCGAUGUCGGCUCGUCGCAUCCUGGGGCUGGAGUAGGUCCCAAGGGUUGGGCUGUUCGCCCAUUAAAGCGGCACGCGAGCUGGGUUUAGAACGUCGUGAGACAGUUCGGUCUCUAUCCGCCGCGCGCGUUGAAACUUGAAGAAGGCUGUCCCUAGUACGAGAGGACCGGGAUGGACGUACCUCUGGUAUGCCAGUUGUCACGCCAGUGGCAUGGCUGGUUAGCUACGUGCGGGAGGGAUAACCGCUGAAAGCAUCUAAGCGGGAAGCCUGUUUUAAGAUGAGGUUUCUAUUGAGGUUCCCUGAAGAUGAUGGGGUUGAUAGGCCAGGGCUGUGAGCAUGGUGACGUGUUGGAGGUGACUGGUACUAAUACACCGACACAAAAAAC